AUGUAAUGUAAUGCCUACAAUGUUAAUACACUAGAUCACAUUAGAAAUCAACAUUUAAGUGCGCUUGGGCUAGAGUAGUAUUGGGAUGCGAAACCUUCCAAGAAGUCCUAGUGUUUUACAUG
rfam:Picea glauca, whole genome shotgun sequence.